rnacentral:lncRNA from 1 species
GCUAAAUAAAAUGAAAAUCCAAUUCUCAUUUAAAGAGACAAAACAAUUUUGUUCUCAACCUAAUUUGGGCCAAAAUGCAAUUACCACAACUUUUGGGCUAUAUUGCAAAAACACAAACUUUUGGGGUCACUUUGUAAAAACACAAAAGUCCACUACUUCAUGUAAUUACAACUAGAACCCAAAAAAAUUUCAAUAAAUUCAAAACUUCAUUAAAGGAGCAAAACAAUUUGUCCUUUAGCGUUUUUAGGCCUUAACGUCAAAACGUAAACUUUCGGGUCAAAAUACAAAUACAUAAAAGUAUCAAAACUUUAUGUAAUUGUAUAAAAGCCCCAAAAAUACCCUAUUUUAAUAGGGUGGCCGGUUUUAGGGAGAAAAAUGAGUGGAGAUAAGUCCACAAAAAUUUGGAAAUUUUUCAACUAAGUCAUAAAGCCAUGCAAGUGGAAAUAGGUUGAUGUGAAUAAAAGAGAAGUCCUUCUUACACACCCAUCACCAUUUCUAUCACCUUUCAAAAAAUAAUAAAUGUUUUGAUGAUAGAUAAGUCACACCCACCAACACAAAACAAAGACUUUAUGAAAUAAAUCAAAACAUCAAACCUUUUUGUUCUUGGCAAGAACAUCAAGAACAAUGAAGAACAUCCAUGAAAACCCAUAAGAGCUCCAUGAAUGUUUUCAAGCAAUAAAACUCAAAUUUUCACCAUUCAAAAUGGGGCUAACAUCCUAGGGUACUUAGGGGUUCCAAAGUCACUUUAAAACACUUUUAACAAGUCAAACAAGAACCCAAAAAAUCACCCUUUGGAUUUGGCCGAAAAUCCCCAAAAACUUGGCACCAAAUUUUAGCUCUAAUAUUCAUGCUCAUAUGAACUACAUCUACAACAUUUGAGAUGGCAAAUUUUCUAACAAAAUUUACAUUCAAAGAAACAAGAAUAAAGCUUGUAACAUAUUACAACUUUUAAAUCAAAACUAUGAAAUACAAAACCCAAAAGGAUUCACCAACUACUAGACCUAGGCUCUGAUACCACUUGAAGGAUGAUUUUGUGAAAACAUGUUCAUUUAAGCAACAUCUAUAGCAUGCUAUUAACAAUUAAAAGGUGGAAUCAUGCUUGCAUGCACUUAAAAACAAAACAUUAACCAUGAAAUUCAAAGCCUAGUAGAUUGGUGAACCAA